UCGAAAGGAAAAGAAGAUAGGAGAAGCAUUGAUGAAGGUGAAAACAAAAUAAUCCCCUUCGGUCAUAGAAGACAGUGUGUGACGAUGAAGAACAGAUUAUCCAGUAACAAAAAUCAAUAGAAAUGCAGCUGUGAUUACCAAAAUAAGGUUACCUUUGAUAUCAGCGCACUAUAGCCUGGAAGAUAUUCCGCUUCUCCGACGAUGCUCUCUGUAGAUUGUCCUCCUUCUUUCGUCCAGACUUCCCUUUCUCGAUCACUUUUUUCUUCUUUCAAAAAAACCUUCUUCCCGAAUAUUUUCUCUAACCGUUUUGCUCAUUCCCUCUCCAAAAAAAAUUCCUCUGUCCCCCCAUUAUCCACCUCACCUCUCACACGUUUUUUUCCAAAACCCUAAACCCUCUGCCAGCUCACCUCUGGCUCCCUCACCCCCAACACACACAUCACAAUUUUACUCACGUUUUUUUUUUUUUUUUUUCUUUUCUUUUUUUUUCAAAAGAAUAUAAAAAAAUAAAAUCAAAUAAGAUAAAACAAAAACUAAAAAUAAAUAAAAAUAAAAUGAGAUGAAAAAUAAAAAAUAAAAUAAAACAAAAAUAAAAAUGUCUUAUUAUUAAUCACCCGGACGAAAUUGGGUGUUGACAGCUGCCCCUCUUUACUUAAAUUUUACUGGAUAAUAUGAAAAUGUGAUAUUUUCGUAUUAUCUUGAGUAAAAGUUAAGUAAAGAUNGAAACACUAAUUUCGUCUGGGUUUCAAUUAUGAAAGAAACGAACAAAAUGAUUUGAGUCGCGGUGCUAAAAGACCAAUGCCAAGCAGAGGAUCGAUAACAGAAAACUAGAAUCUGGAUUUGACCAUUGCCUCGCAGAGGGCCAAACUCACAGAACAAAAAUUUAAACUUGACUAAUGCCGCGCAGAGGGUCGAUAACAGAAAACUAGAAUUUGGAUUUGACCAUUGCCUCGCAGAGGGCCAAACUCACAGAACACAACUUUAUCUGACCAUUGCCACGCAGAGGGUCGAUAACAAACCGCUAAAACCUGGAUUUGACCAUUGCCUCGCAGAGGGCCAAACUCACAGAAC
rnacentral:lncRNA from 1 species